rnacentral:tRNA from 2 species
UGGGGAAUCGUCCAACGGCUAGGACUCCAGACUCUGACUCUGGCUAUCUAGGUUCGAAUCCUAGUUCCCCAG